UCCCCGAUAGCUCAGUUGGUAGAGCAACUGACUGUUAAUCAGUGGGUCACUGGUUCGAGCCCAGUUCGGGGAGCCA
rnacentral:tRNA from 8 species